UCUAAAUUGCAAAAUGUUCCCCUGAUUCGAUCUCUUCUCUGCAUUCCAUCUUCUCCUCCUCCUCUCUUGUUUUUGUCGUUGAUUCCAUGGCUUCACAGUAAGGCUCCCAAGGCACGAGCAGUAAUAGCUCAAGGUUGAAGUUGCAACCAGGCCCGUCGAAGAAAAAUAUGUUAUUAUGGUCAGAGGUCCGUGCUUGCUACUUCAUCCACUGUAGAGAAUCUUAGAUGUAGAUUCUGGGACUGUGUCAACUAUGGAAUUGAGGAAGAACGUGGGUACUUUUGUGAGCUGAGCCAGAGGAUGAUCUAGAAAUUGCAAAAUUGAGAAGAAAAGUCACUACUUUGAAGAAUAAAUUGGCAACAAAUUAAUUGAUGUUUAUUUUUGCAGUAUCAGUUGCUCUAGUAGGAUGGACAGUUGCACUAUUCUUACUAUGUGAAAAGAUGACUUUCUCUAGAAAUUAGAGGUUUUUAUUACAAUGAAACUAGAGAAUUUAAGAUAGAAGAAUAUGAUUAUAAUUUUGUUCUAUAUUUUGUUAAUAGGUAGGAAUCAACUUGGUUUAAUUUGUAGUUCCUUAUAUCAUCUAAUUAUGAAUGAAAUGCAUACUUAA